UAAACGCCAUCAUAAACACGAUUAUACCAAGAGAUAUCAUCAUUAGUGAGAGACAUAAGUCUCACGGACCACCGUAGACAUCCCUUGUUCUCCUUGAAGGCAAGCGUCUGAGGCAAGUGUGAAAUAAACCACUUGUACAACAGAGGAAGACAACACACAAUGGAACCACCACCCUUUGCAUUCCUCAUAUGCAAAGAGAAAUAAGUGUCACCCAACAGAGUCGGAACGAGAUUAAGAAGAGAAAAU
rnacentral:lncRNA from 1 species